rnacentral:rRNA from 1 species
ACCGGCGGCCCGAGUGGUGAUCGUGAUUAUUGGGUCUAAAGGGUCCGGUAGCCGGUUGGUCAGUCCUCCGGGAAAUCUGAUAGCUCAACUAUUAGGCUUUCGGGGGAUACUGCCAGACUUGGAACCGGGAGAGGUAAGAGGUACUACAGGGGUAGGAGUGAAAUCUUGUAAUCCCUGUGGGACCACCUGUGGCGAAGGCGUCUACCAGAACGGGUUCGACGGUGAGGGACGAAAGCUGGGGGCACGAACCGGAUUAGAUACCCGGGUAGUCCCAGCCGUAACGAUGCUCGCUAGGUGUCAGGCAUGGCGCGACCGUGUCUGGUGCCGCAGGGAAGCCGUGAAGCGAGCCACCUGGGAAGUACGGCCGCAAGGCUGAAACUUAAAGGAAUUGGCGGGGGAGCACAACAACGGGGUGGAGCCUGCGGUUUAAUUGGACUCAACGCCGGACAACUCACCGGGGGCGACAGCAAUAUGUAGGCCAAGCUGAAGACUUUGCCUGAAUCGCUGAGAAGUGGUGCAUGG